CGGCAAUUACAAACAUAUUAGUGUCUUUAUUAGUUUUAUUGACAUCUUCCAUGAGAAAUAAAAAGUUGCACACACUCCCAUUCCAAGUAAUACCAGUUUCAGGGCUCAAUAAAUGCAGCUUUUAUCAACGACUAACAAACUUUAUCACCUUGACCCGAUGGCUUUGUUUGAUAAUGAGAAAAUAAUCAAUAGAUAAGCAGCAGAUCGAUUAGGUCAGCACAUAAACAUAUGCACAUACUGUAAAACACCUCCUGGGUCUGAGAUGGUGCAGUUACUACCCUGUUGACUUCCUCUGUUAAACUUCAGUUUUGGGCCCCUUCGUGAAAUGAGGAAGGGACAGAGUGGUCACAUUCUGUGUGAAAAUGGGCGAACAAGCAAGUGAAAGAGUUGACGUAAAAGGACAAAAAGCAUCAAACAGCUGCAUGGAUUUGAGAAACCAGGUGGAUGCUGGGAGGGAAACAUCUGCAGGCACAAGAUGUCGGCCCACCUGUCAGCUGGCAGCUUCUGUGGCUGUUGUUAUGGCAACAACAAUCCUGGUCACUGGACUUAUUUUGUGUUUGGCAUUAUGUAGUAAGUAAAACAAUUAAUAUGAGAUCAUAAGUUUUAGGUAUGUUAGUUUAUUUCUGUGUCUGUCUAAUGCCUUUCUCUGUUUCUGUAUUCUUCAUAUACAUUUUAAGUUUUAUUAUACCCUCUACUUACUGAAACAUGAACAAAAACAAGGUUUAAAUAAUUUAAUUAAUGAUGGCUCCAUUUAGCUGCUUUAGUUUCAGGCUCCUUGUACUGUGCAUGCUGGCUCACUGGCACACACUUAAUGUUAUUAGUAACACCUAGUCAAAAUGUUGGCUGUCGAAUGUGUAAUUAACCAGAAUAUGUGAAAACAUCUGUGUAGUGGUGGAAGAAAUAUUAAGAUCAGAAGUAUUAGAGCAAAAUGGCUCCUUUCAAGUGUUCUGAAGUAUGAUAUAUUGUUUGUUAUCUUUUGCCUACAAGAAAAUAAUUUCUACACACAGGUUCAUAUUUCUUUCAGGGGUUCUCUUGUGUGUUCUGUUGCAUUGUAUCAUAUUUAAUAAGUUGAUCGUCUGUUUUAUAAGUAACUAGUAUGAAUAGCAGUGAAAUAAAAAGUAAAUUUUCCUCUAAAAUGUAGAAGAGUAGAAGUAUAAAGUAGAAUAAAGUGGACUACAACUACAACAUCUUCCAUGAGAAAUAAAAAGUUGCACACACUCCCAUUUCCAAGUAAUAACAGUUUCAGGGCUCAAUAAAUGCAGCUUUUAUCAACGACUAACAAACAUUAUCACCUCGACCCGAUGGCUUUGUUUUAUAAUGAGAAAAUAAUAAAUAGGUAAGCAGCAGAUCGAUUAGGUCAGGCCAGCAGAUGAACAUCUGCACAUAUAACACCUCCUGGGUCUGAGAUGGGGCUGCAUGUACGCUCUGUUGACUUCCUCUGUUAAACUUCAAUUUUGGGCUCCUUCGUGAAAUGAGGAAGGGACAGAGUGGUCACAUUCUGUGGGGAAAUGAGCAAACAGCCUUUCCUGUCACUGCCAUACUUUUACACACAAACAAUCUUGAUCAAGUUAUGCAAUAAGUUACUGUUCAUUUGUUGUCACGUGGACAGCUGCACCACAAGUGGAUCAGGCCU
rnacentral:lncRNA from 15 species